UGGGAAUUUUGGACAAUGGGGCAACCGUGAUCCAGCAAUGCCGCGUGUGUGAAGAAGGCCUUCGGGUUGUAAAGCACUUUUGUCCGGAAAGAAAACGCCGUGGUUAAUACCCGUGGCGGAUGACGGUACCGGAAGAAUAAGCACCGGCUAACUACGUGCCAGCAGCCGCGGUAAUACGUAGGGUGCAAGCGUUAAUCGGAAUUACUGGGCGUAAAGCGUGCGCAGGCGGUCCGCUAAGACAGAUGUGAAAUCCCCGGGCUUAACCUGGGAACUGCAUUUGUGACUGGCGGGCUAGAGUAUGGCAGAGGGGGUAGAAUUCCACGUGUAGCAGUGAAAUGCGUAGAGAUGUGGAGGAAUACCGAUGGCGAAGGCAGCCCCCUGGGCCAAUACUGACGCUCAUGCACGAAAGCGU
rnacentral:rRNA from 1 species